rnacentral:rRNA from 1 species
AACGAACGCUGGCGGCAUGCCUAACACAUGCAAGUCGAACGAGACCUUCGGGUCUAGUGGCGCACGGGUGCGUAACGCGUGGGAACCUGCCCUUAGGUUCGGAAUAACUCCCCGAAAGGGGUGCUAAUACCGGAUAAUGUCUUCGGACCAAAGAUUUAUCGCCUUUGGAUGGGCCCGCGUUGGAUUAGCUAGUUGGUAGGGUAAAAGCCUACCAAGGCGACGAUCCAUAGCUGGUCUGAGAGGAUGAUCAGCCACACUAGGACUGAGACACGGCCCAGACUCCUACGGGACGCAGCAGUGGGGAAUAUUGGACAAUGGGCGAAAGCCUGAUCCAGCAAUGCCGCGUGAGUGAUGAAGGCCUUAGGGUUGUAAAGCUCUUUUACCCGGGAUGAUAAUGACAGUACCGGGAGAAUAAGCUCCGGCUAACUCCGUG